AUCCCAGGCCGGUCUCACCUUUAUUAAUUGGAGGGAAUGUACCUGAACAGAUGCUCCUGUAGGGGUCAGUUUUUCCAAGUCUCCAAAUGCAAUACAUAGCUAAUGAGACUGUCGACAUACUGAGAUGUCAGGAGUCCACGAAGAUGCUUUGCUAGCUGUGGCUACAGUCAAGUGAGAAAGCAUUGUGCUUUGUGAUGCAGUAUACUUGGCCUAAUGAUGCUUUGGCAGCCGAGGUUUGCUGUCAGGAGCCAUUAAAGCAUUCAUACAAAUACUGCUGUGCACUAGGUGCAGAGACAGCAGCUCCCAGCAUGUCACUGAUUGAUGUAUGGAAUGAUCACUGGAUGGAAAGAUGGAUGGAGGAGCAGGUGACAAGAAGGGUCAACAAAGGAAUCAUUAAUGAAAUGGAUGGAUGGAGAGAAGGAUGGAUUGAUGGACAGAUGGGAUGGACAGACAAGUAGAUGGACAUACAGAUGGAUGGAUGUACAGAUGGAUGAAAAGACAGUGGAUGAGUCACCACAACACCGCCACUGUCCUGCUGGUGCCAGCACUGUCCUAAAUCCACCCAGCCGCAGAUCUUCUCUCUACUUCGAAGACCAGUGUGCCCCCAGGCCUCCACGGGGACCAGUGGGGGUGGUCCUGGGGUACAGAACCCUCAUCCCAUUGGCUGGAGACACUCCGUUGGCUGCUACAAAAACCUGGAACCUUUGGAGGAGGCUCAGCUCUGCGGCACCGGCAUGGAACCAGACUGAUGCCUCUUCUGUUUUGAGAAGCCGGAGGUCCAACAAGCUAUUCUUUCUUUAGCCAAGACGAUGCCCUGCUGCUGUGUCUCCUUCUCUCUAACAGCUGGUGACCAGACACCACAGCCCAGGAUCAAACCUUCUAUGUUUCUGAGUCAGAGGUCUCUGGAAUCUCUCAGAAUUUCCUGCCUGCUAUACAAGGUCAUAAUUGAGAAGUUAGGGCUACAUGAACAUAUAAUUGUUUCUACAAGAACAUAAGACCAUAGCAAAUCAAAAGACCCUCCACCUAAAUGUUGUCUUAACAAGAAUAGUAAUUGUUUAAUAGCAGUACAAAUACAUAGAGCAUUUGGGAAAAACAUUAACAACUGUCUACAACGGUAAACUAUAUAGAAUUAUCUUUACUGUGUGAGGUACUUGGCUCAUGGAUUUGCUUGUGCAUGAGAGGCCACACUGCAAAGCUACAACUGAGCAUGCACUUGGCCUAGUUAACUCUGUCAGGUAACAAUAUUUUGUUUGUGAGUGAAAAAGUUUAUUUGAUAGAGAUAUCUGCAUGGAAGCUUGACUCAGCCAUGAAGUAAGGAUGUAUCUUUAGAGCUCUGCAGUGUAGCUGUAAUGUGUUGCUACAAGUCAGCUAAGAUAAUGUCAAGCCAAGUUUUCUGCAUACUAUAAUGUGAUGUAUUUUUCAAUCUCGUUGUGCUGAAACAAAAGCAGUCAUGUCCUCCUUCUCAUUUGCUCUGACAGAACUGCGUGCACAGAGUUAGUCACUGCUGGGAGCAUUGAUUGUGCCAGGAUGAGUUUUCUGAGCUGUGAAGUGUGAACCAGCAUCAAACCCGUACUAAGGGCUUCCUCCCCAUAAGGAUCUAAACUGUCGUUGCUGUCUUUGGCUGUUGCAGUCAUUUCAUUACUCUGACCACCAUGUAGCAAACCUAGAGAUUAGAAAGCAAGUCACUUGGUUGUGGUUUCUUGGGUGGUCAAGACACGUGUAAUCGAGUAUAUUUCUCAGGAACUGUCUGUCAGGGUUCUGGCAUGGUUCGGCCUAGAACUGUGAUUAAUGGGGUGGAGGGACCCACGGACUUACUACUCUUACUUAUACACCAUUCUAAAUGCAUGCAGCCCGUUGGAGAACAUUAACCAUUGUAAGUAAUAUCAAUACAUAUAGCAAAAUUCAAUAAUGAUGGCUAUACUAAUAAGCUGAAUAUAGCUUGAUGGACAAAAUCUAUCAAUUCUUACAGGUAUUUAAAAGGAUCAAAGAGGUAGAGAUGGGAAAUCUGAAUAGUAUUUAACAUUUCCCAAGAUGUUUCCAACAUCUGCGUGUCUAUCAGUAUUUUGUAGCACUGGUAUAGGUUGGCUUAGCAAUAGGGAUCAAUAUAUUAGCUUAAGGACCAAUAUAUUAGUUUAGCAAAAAGGAAUUAAUAUGUGAUAAUUCUAGAAUUUUCCAGUUUAGCUUUGCUUGGUAUGAACAGUCUUGUUUUUCUGAAUGAUCCCUGCUUCGCUGAAGUGCUGAAGUCACAAUAGGCUACUUCUGUCUUUGUAUCUGUCACGUGCAAGGACUUUUUCCUGGGUUUCAUGUAAAUUGUUUUGAGUUAUAGCACACCAAGACAGAAGGUUGCUCAUUAUGGCAUAACAAGCCAUGGAAAUUUGCCAAAUUGGGGAAAAACAGCUAAAAGGUCAGCCACAGGACACUGUGAUGAAGCUGAAGGAGAAAUAAAGGGGAGGAAGCAGGUGGUAGUAUGAGCA
rnacentral:lncRNA from 1 species